AAAAGUAAUCACGAAGUAAUUAUGAAUAUGUUAAUUCUUAGUGAAAAAUCAGAACUGAGCCAAAGUAUUAAAAUAGUUUUGAUUCAUUGUUCAUGUCGGUUCAAUAUGAUUUUUCAACUCGAUUCGAAACUCCUAAGAACCGUAUACAGCCCUAAUAAAACAAAAUAUAUACAAUAUGAGUUUAGCUCUUAUAAAAAUUAAUGGAGGAGAAGCAAUCAAUUUAAAUAUCUAGGUUCUAUCAUAUA
rnacentral:misc_RNA from 1 species